rnacentral:lncRNA from 1 species
UUUUUUUUUUUUUUUUUUUUUUUUUUUUUUUUUUUUGCUUCCCUCUUCCACUGUAAGUUUAAAGGAGAACUUGGGCUUUGGAGUAGUUGUGCUGAUUGGUGUUUACAUACUAACUCUGCUGCUUCUUAGCUGUAUGGCCUUAGGCAAAUAAUUUAACUUCUAAGCCUCAGUUUCCCCAUCUAAAAAAUAGGGGAACUUUACAGGGUUAUUGUGAGAUGUGAGAUAGAAGGGGUAGAGCACAUUGACUGGCAUAAAGGAGGGGCUUCAUAAUUAGUUCUAUUGCUUUUUCUUAACACUUUCUUCUCCAGUGACAUUUUGUGUCCUUUCAUUGCUUUUUUUUUUUCUUCUGUUUGUAUUCCCGUGUCAUUCACUGAUUUAUUCUCCUAGCAUUGCCCAAGACGAAAAUUGUUGUCCUCUGAUUUAGACUAGUUAUUUCCUCUUUAGGCAAAGAGGAACUGCACUUUAACAUAUUAAGGCAUCUUUUUCUUUCAUUUGCGCACAAUGCUGAUUUUUGCAGUCCUAUUUUACGCCUUAAUGUGACAACUUCCUGGUUUUUUUUUUUUUAAACCCAGAACUUAACUAUUACAACAAACCUAGGCAAUUUAUUUUAAUUGGCAUAAAGAGACUGAAUAACACCAGUAACUGACUGUGGCUUUCAUGUGACCCUGGUUUGUGAUGAGCUGUGCUGUGUUUUGGGAAUAGCAUUAAUAUUUUCUUGCAGUUUGAGUUUAACUAUCAACGGUUUCCUGGCAUCUUUUGGUUGAUGUCAGACAGUAACAUUUUAGAUAUGGCAGCCUGAUUGUCACCUGCACAUUUAGAGACAAUUAUUAGACUAGUGGUUUUCCUUCUAAAGCCAAAGAGUUUUUUGAUAAUCUUCCUAUAUAUACUGUUACACCCCCCAGUUUUGUGAACACACAAUAACUAGUCUUAUGACUUGCGGUAAUGCUGAAUAAUACAUCUGUUGUGUUACUUUCCUAAUGUAUGAUCUAAGUUGUAUUACCAUUGUCUUAUGUUUUCCUUAACAUUAAAACCUUUCUUUUGUUUGUUUAAUUUUGUGUGUGUGUGUUAUGGAAUAUACUGUUACUAAUAAAAAAUUAAACAGGAAACCCACAGGGGACAAAAGGAUGUGUAGAUGGUUAAGCUUGAUGUCACACAUAUAAACAAGAGUAUUUAUAGCAAGGUUUAUGUUUAAAAUUGUGUUUAAAAUGGAUAAUUUAUUAAUGAACAGGAAAAUAAGUCUAAUUUCUUAAUUCCACCCAAAGAAAUAAAAGGUUGAUCCUCUUGGAUUCUAAAAAAAAAGAAGGUCCAUAUUCUACCUUUUUGCAGUUGAUUCCAGAAGAAAUUGGUUUAUAGUGAAUAUUCACAGUACUUGCAGGUGGUUUGGCCUGGAAAAUCUAGAUGAGUGGUUUUUAAAUUUAGUUGCUUAUUAGACUCAAGAAAGAAAUUUAAAAAACAAUACUGAUUACUGAGACCAGCUUUUCUAGAUUCUUCAUUCAGUAGGAGUAAGGAAAGGCCAAUGAAUGUGUAUUGAUAAAAAGGUUCCUGGCCGGGUGCGGUGGCUCACGCCUGUAAUCCCAGCACUUUGGGAGGCCGAGGCAGGAGAACUGCUUGAACCCAGGAGGAGGAGGUUGUAGUGA